rnacentral:rRNA from 1 species
GAUGAACGCUGGCGGCGUGCCUAAUACAUGCCAGUCGAGCGAACAGACGAGGAGCUUGCUCCUCUGACGUUAGCGGCGGACGGGUGAGUAACACGUGGAUAACCUACCUAUAAGACUGGGAUAACUUCGGGAAACCGGAGCUAAUACCGGAUAAUAUAUUGAACCGCAUGGUUCAAUAGUGAAAGACGGUUUUGCGGUCACUUAUAGAUGGAUCCGCGCCGCAUUAGCUAGUUGGUAAGGUAACGGCUUACCAAGGCAACGAUGCGUAGCCGACCUGAGAGGGUGAUCGGCCACACUGGAACUGAGACACGGUCCAGACUCCUACGGGAGGCAGCAGUAGGGAAUCUUCCGCAAUGGGCGAAAGCCUGACGGAGCAACGCCGCGUGAGUGAUGAAGGUCUUCGGAUCGUAAAACUCUGUUAUUAGGGAAGAACAAAUGUGUAAGUAACUAUGCACGUCUUGACGGUACCUAAUCAGAAAGCCACGGCUAACUACGUG